AUAUAAAUAAAAUGCAUAGAAGACAUGACAUAAAAACAUUAGUAACAUAUUACCAAUGUUAUUUCAACUGAUCGGGCGGAGCUUUCGCUUCAAUUUGCAUAAGGACAGUCUAUUCGAAUUUGUGUGUGAUAAGGAUGAUUGCCGUUAUAUGUAUUAGAACUGAUUUCUGAUCUCCUAUUAGUGUCACCAAACAGAUUCACAAAAGAACUGAGUAUACUAUAUGGGAAGAAUAAAAUAGUUUAAGACUUAUAGCAUUGAUAUAUGCUGAAAAAGAUUAUUUCAAUUUAUCGGCUAUUUUAUUAUUCUGCUUAAAACUUGAUUUCUUUCCCCUUAAAUAUGAUUAAAUUCUUUUUGCUAUUCUCCGUGUAACCCCCCCCCCCACACACACACACACACACACACACAAACACACAAAAAAAACACCAAAAAACAGUCAUAAUAUAAAAAUCGAAAAAAGGUUUUUCAAAGCGUUAUAGAAUAACAACAUAUGCAUAUUUUACAACUGAUAUUGUCAUAGUUUUAC
rnacentral:lncRNA from 1 species